rnacentral:misc_RNA from 1 species
GGAAAAGGGCUGUUCCAAUCAAACUGAGCCAUAAAGUGAUGAUAACCCAGAAGUUACGGUUCUUCUCCCAGCCACUUGGUGGUCGCCACUCCAGGAAGUCACCCCAGUAGUCCUUUGAUGAUGGAAGUUGGUUCGUUGUCGUCUUCCUCGGUACCCGGUCUUUGUAUUUGUCGCUCCAAGUUCCUGCAUAACUGUCAUAGCUCGAACCGAUCAACGGAAUCGUGACCAUCUCAUCCUUCGAAAUCUUCAACUUCGGUGCCUGCAAGAUAUACCGUAGCUCCUUAGCCUGUCGUCUAAUACUCACACUAGGAUGCUUCUUCUCCAACUCCUGGUACAACAUGAUACAAUCCCGAUGACGAUUAUUCGCCUCAUACGCCAUCGCAAGCCAUAUUUGUAUCUCGCCACCUAACAACGUCGGCCUCGGGAUGAUGGUGAGAGCAGCCUCCAAGAACUCGAUCGCACGGGCAUACAUACCCCUCCCAUACGCCUUCUGGCCUAAAUCGAACAUCAGCUUAGCCGUUCUUCGCCGUUCCGCCUGCUCCCUCGCUACCUUUUCGAGCUCUCGUCUGACUCUCUCCCGCUUCACCUCCUCUGUCUCCG